AGCGAACGCUGGCGGCAGGCCUAACACAUGCAAGUCGAACGGAUCCUUCGGGAUUAGUGGCGGACGGGUGAGUAACACGUGGGAACGCGCCCUUUGGUUCGGAACAACUCAGGGAAACUUGAGCUAAUACCGGAUGUGCCCUUCGGGGGAAAGAUUUAUCGCCAUUGGAGCGGCCCGCGUCUGAUUAGCUAGUUGGUGAGGUAAAGGCUCACCAAGGCGACGAUCAGUAGCUGGUCUGAGAGGAUGAUCAGCCACAUUAGGACUGAGACACGGCCCAAACUCCUACGGGAGGCAGCAGUGGGGAAUCUUGCGCAAUGGGCGAAAGCCUGACGCAGCCAUGCCGCGUGAAUGAUGAAGGUCUUAGGAUUGUAAAAUUCUUUCACCGGGGACGAUAAUGACGGUACCCGGAGAAGAAGCCCCGGCUAACUUCGUGCCAGCCGCCGCCGUAAGAC
rnacentral:rRNA from 1 species